AAUAUCUUUUACUAAUAGUACAAGUGUGGACACAGAUGAGUGUGGAUAGUAUGUUUGGAUGUUUGACAGUGUCUUAUGACAAAAGGAGUUCUAUGUUUUUCCUAUAUGGUGUUAUUAACUGUGUUGCACGGUGACAACCGAUCUGAGCAUUAGGAGUGUUAUUUAUUUAAUAUUUUUUCAAGACAGGCAUGGAGGAGACAGUAAUUACAUUAGUUACCAAAUGGUUAUGAUAGAAUAUGUUCUACAUCUUUGACUUUGGAUACAUGUUGUAGCUAGGAGAGCAACACAUAAAAGGUUCAUUUUUUCACGUGUUUUUUUUUUCUAAAUGGGAGAUGAUAUCUAGAUUUGAGAACAUGAUAUAAGGAGCCUGUAACUCGGUGGUUGUCGUUUAUUUAAGUGUUACAUAUUAGUUUUCUGUUUAUUUUUUUAACAUAAAUAAGGCCAUUAGUUUUCGCGUUUGAAUUGUUUU
rnacentral:lncRNA from 1 species